AUGAAUUCAACUUCGUGCUUAGUACAAGAUGCGCGUGUAUCUUAUCAUGUACCUAUAUUGUCAAUCGCAUAUUUAGCGGGCAAUUGCAAAAUCAACGAGUUGCGGGAGCGGCUACGGCAGCCGCAAACCUCAUACUCGCGCGCUACAGUAAGGUGGAAGGGAAAAUUCGGAAGAAGAAGAAAAAAAGGCAAACCUGAACGGACUUCUUCGCUGUUACAGACUGCUGAUGAGCAAUACCGGCUAUAUUUUCCGGCAAGCUUUUGGUUUUCUGGGGAAAGUUGA